rnacentral:snRNA from 1 species
GUGCUUACUUCAGCACAUACAGUAAAACUGGACAAUAGAGAGAUUAUUAGCACGGCCCCUACACAAGGAUGACACACAAAUUUAUGUGUUCCUUAUUUUU